rnacentral:rRNA from 1 species
UACGGGGGGAGCAAGCGUUGUUCGGAUUUACUGGGCGUAAAGGGCGCGUAGGCGGCGUGACAAGUCACUUGUGAAAUCUCCGGGCUUAACCCGGAGCGGCCAAGUGAUACUGUCGUGCUAGAGUGCGGAAGGGGCUACUGGAAUUCUCGGUGUAGCGGUGAAAUGCGUAGAUAUCGAGAGGAACACCGGUGGCGAAGGCGGCGAUCUGGACGAUGACUGACGCUGAGACGCGAAAGCGUGGGGAGCAAACAGG